rnacentral:misc_RNA from 1 species
AUGGAACCCAGGAAGAUCGCGAAACCGAGACGGAAGCGGCUUGAGGAGACCCUUUGCGGGUCAAGGUCGUUCGAGAGGUCGAAUAAGCCAGCGGAGCCAGCGAGGCCGCCGAGAACGAAGACGCAGCAGCAUUCCGCUUACGUGACGGCGACACACAAUUCCGAUCUCGGAAAUGUCGUCCAACGUAACGCGUUUGUGGAAUCGGAGCAGAGACCGACCCAGAAGGCCUCGAUGACGACCCUCGACGAGAACGUGAACCGCGUACUGCGACAACAGCAUAAGACAAUCGACAGUAUGGAUUAUUUGGGAAAGAACGAUCGGAUAGAAAGAAUCGCGCCAAUGGACACGAAAAAGCAAAAUUCAAUGGAUGGAGGACGGCCUGUCCAAGUGGUACUUGCCCAUCCAGAUCAUACCUUCGAAUUAGAUGAAGAAGCAUUGUCAGAAAUUCUUUUAGAUGACGACGUGAAAGAUAGAAGUGUGGUUGUGGUAUCUGUUGCAGGUGCCUUCAGGAAAGGCAAAAGUUUCCUUCUUGACUUUUUCCUUCGUUACAUGAACAGCAAGUAUCCGUUACACGAUGAUAACGACACCUUACACAGUAACAUCGACACCUGGCUGGGCGCCGAGGACGAACCUCUGAGUGGUUUCUCAUGGAGAGGUGGCUCCGAGAGGGAUACCACGGGAAUAUUAAUGUGGUCGAAGGUUUAUCGCGCCACCUUGCCGAAUAAAGAAAAGAUCGCUGUGAUUCUCAUGGAUACCCAGGGCGCGUUUGACAGCCAGUCGACGGUGCGGGACUGCGCGACGGUGUUCGCGUUGAGCACGAUGCUGUCGUCCGUGCAAAUCUACAAUUUAUCGCAGAACAUCCAGGAAGACGAUUUGCAACAUCUGCAGCUGUUCACCGAGUACGGUAGACUGGCGUUGGAAAAUUCCGACAGCACACCUUUCCAGAGAUUGCAAUUCUUAGUGAGGGACUGGGUCUACCCGUACGAGGCCGAUUACGGCGCGGACGGCGGAAAACAAUUGCUCGACAAGAGAUUGGAGAUCUCCGAUAGACAACACCCGGAAUUGCAGAGCUUGCGGAAGCACAUCAAGUCCUGUUUCUCGGACAUAUCGUGCUUCCUCAUGCCGCAUCCGGGUCUCGAGAUUGCGACGAAUCCGCGAUUUGAUGGCAGAUUAUCCGAGAUACAGUCGGAAUUCAAGAAACAGCUGAAGGUACUUAUUCCGAUGAUACUGGCGCCGCAAAAUCUGGUCACCAAGAAGAUCAAUGGUCAGGACGUGAAAGCGAAGGAUCUGUUGGAGUACUUCAAGAGUUACAUCAAUCUUUACAAGGGGGACGAACUUCCCGAGCCGAAAAGCAUGCUUGUGGCCACAGCAGAAGCUAACAAUUUGACGGCCGUAGCCGAAGCUAAGGACUCGUAUCUUAAAAUGAUGGAAAACGUGUGUGGUGGAGCGAAACCAUUCCUAGCGACAGCGCACUUGGAAUCGGAGCAUCAGCAUUGUAUGGACAUGGCUCUUCGUCAAUUUCAGAAUAAACGAAAAAUGGGUGGCGAAGAAUUCAGUCAAAUAUACAUGGAAAAAUUGAUUAAGGACAUGGAUGAUUCUUUCUUGCAAUUCAAGGCACACAACGAGAGCAAAAAUAUCUUUAAAGCAGCGAGAACGCCAGCGGUGUUCUUCGCGAUUGCCGUUACCAUGUACAUCUUGUCCGGAAUAUUUGGUCUGGUUGGUCUAUACACGUUAGCAAAUGUGUGCAACCUCAUUAUGGGCAUCGGUCUCCUCACGCUCGUCUUAUGGGCAUACAUAAGGUACAGCGGAGAAUUUAGAGAAAUUGGCACGCAAAUAGACGACUUAGCUAGCACAAUAUGGGAAAAUUGCACUAAUGAAAAACGAUAUUUGAGAAAGGUCUGGCUAUGCGCUCAUCUUAGUUAUAAAAUAACGUAUAAAUUAAGAUACCUAAUCCUGUCCAUUAUCGUAAUUGUAUUUACAGUACCUAUAUGUCAUUUUACUUAUCUCGAUCUUCGUAGACAUGGCUAUAUCUGAUCCCACGCUUUUCUUCCCGUUUAAUUUCAAUUUUCUUGAAUUAUUUGAGUCUCGAUUUGCUUGUCGGCACUCUUUUACAUUUCUUACACUUCCCCCAUGCAAAUUUCGCAAAUUCUUUUCUCAGAAAUUGUCAUGCUUCUUCAAGCAUGAUUAUUAAUAUCAUUAUUUUAUCGUUUCUUUCUUUAUUCCUGUCAUAAGCUGAGUGCUAACAGGAGUAAAUAUCGGAAAGUUCAUGAAGCCACUCUACCAACAAUUUGUGGAGAAGUCAGUGUCUGUAGCAGUGGCGCAGGCUGCUGAAAUAGCGGUGACAAAUUCAACAAUGAACGCCACUGCCACUGCCAAUGGCAAGCCUAAAUUCUCGUAA